UGUUGCAGUUCUUUGAAAGCAGAAACUAAAGUUAUAUUUCCAAUGAAAACUUCCUAGUAGUUGACACAAUGUACAAAAGAUGACUUCACUAUUUUUUUUUUUAAGAAAGAGGGCUUAUAUGCUAGCGCCAACACUUACUCUUACCACAGCUGAUAUGGCCCAUGUGUGGUAGGAAAUGUAGAAACUGUUUUUAUGCUCGGUCCUGUUCUGAACAUUCCCAAUAUGCUUUUUAUAAGAUCUUCACUCCAGACCUGAGAAGAAUUCUUGAGAAGCUGCAACACUUUGUAUGGAGAGACUAGCACGGAAAAAGUUUAUUAAUCUUGAGCAGGAAGCAGUACUCAUUUCCAGAAUCAUGAGAUUGACUUGAUGAGACCUUCAUAUUGAAGAUAAAAACAAGGAAACUUUGAGUUAUCAUAGCCCAUUGUUUUCAGAAGAGUGUGUGUUUCUCAUGGGCAAAGGAAAGAAUCCAGAGUGAGAAGCUGAAGAAAGUGGGAAGUGCUAGAUUGGCGUGAUUUCAAAAGCAGGAAAAAUGACAUCAUUUGAAUGAAAGAGUGAAUAUUAGAGGAAGGCCUGACUUUGGAAGAAUCCAGUCUGAUAAAGAAGAUGAGUGUGGACACAACUAUGACAGAACCAAACUGAGCACACUCAUAGACACAGAAACACGUGCACACACGGUCUAGAGAUGCACAGCUCUGCAAGUGUUAAUUGCCACCUUUCAAGUAAAGAAAGUAAUGUCACACUCAUGAUGGAACAAUGUCUGUCCAGGAGACUCUUCCGGAGCUAACAGAGGGCACGAAUAUGAGCAGCUUGCGUAGCUAAGGCCAGGAGGAUUCCAGCAGGCAGCCAUUGCUUUGAGAGCUUUUGCCUGAGGAAGUUGUUCAGAGCUAGAAAACAGAAGCUGCUUCUCCUCCAAGCUCUGGUUUUCAUUUGCAGAAGUGAUCCUACAUUACAUUUGGCCAUCACGUCUCCCUGUACUCUUCUUGGCUGUGACAGUUUCUCAGACUUUCCUUGUUUUGAUCCCCUUGACAGUUUGAGGAGGACUGGCUAAGUAUUUUUUAGGAUGUCUCUGUAUUAACAAUUGUCUAAUGUUUUUCUCGUGAUUGAACUGGAGUUUCAAUAAUAUAUUCAAAACAAUCCUUCUCACAUCCUGCCCUUCAAAAAAAAAAAAAAAAUUCAUACCCUCAAACGUAACAAAAUCCCCCAGCCUCAACUCAGGAUGAUGUUAUGUAUCUUGUAAUUCAUUGACAAAUUUGCAAAAUGACACUAAAUACUGCAGGCUGCAGGCCUUUCCAUUAGUAACCUCACCCUAGGUACAAAUAAACAUCAUUUAAUGGAAGUUCCGUCAAUGGAGGAGGCUGAUCUUUGGCCCCCUGGGUUACAGGACGCUCUUGUUAGUUCCCUCCAGCACCUCCUCCACAUGUUGAAUUUUAAUGAGGCUGGGAAACCUGUGGGUUAGAAGUGUAUUGGUGUUAUUUCCUGUUUCCACUUCAGUUAGCCUCCCAACUUUCUGAUUUGACAUGAAUUUCGGGAGGGAAUGCAAUGUACACAACGGGAAACAAACACCUAAUUUUUUUCUUCUUUAAUAUGGCAACUUUUAAAAGACAGUGCAACUUUAAAAAUAGCAAAUAUUAUCACAUUGUGAGGAAGGAAAGUUUUUAUAAUGUACUAAGAAGUCCAAGUCACAUGAUGCUCACUGCCUAGUUUUUGUAAGCACUUUAUAAAUGCUGAGUGCAGGUGUUCACAUGCCUAAUGCCUAACCUUUACCAGGCGAGAUCAAACUCUUGUUUCUACUCCACGUGUUUCUCAUGUCCUUUGAAUACUCCACAUUUUAUAACUGAAAUCUAGGACAACCCUUUGAGUUGAGAACGAAAAAAUUAAUUUUUUUUUGUUUAACAUAAAAUAAACAUAGGUGAUUUCUUUCUUUUGUCAUUUCCCAGAUAGGCUAGGUUCUGAGACCUGGUUGCAUCUUAGCAGGAGGCCGGUGGGGAAGAAUCUGGGGAUGGAUAGAAAACUGGCAGAGCUCAUUCCCAAAGGAGAGUGUCAGUCACAUAACUUCUGCUGUCACCAAGAAAGUGGGACCAAGUCAGCCCUAAUUCAGAGAUGGUUCUAGGUGACCCACCAGAUGUUUGUGUUGGACUGACCAGUUUAUGCUGUUCUCUGCAGGAAUUGACCUGCUAGAUCACUGUCUAGCACAGAAUUACUGAGAAUCUGCCAUGUGGAAGAAAGUGCCCAGGAACUGGAAAUCCAGCACUGAACGGAAAGACAUCCCUCAUGGAGCUUGCAUUUUAGGAGAGAGCUAUAUAUACUGCCGCCUUCUCCGUGAGAGGUCAGAGCUUUGAAAACAACACUGAAUGACUGAAUCUAAUACCAACGUAUUGAAUUGAAAUAGCUCAGUUACCCUGGGAAAAGCCAGCCUGCACAUUGUGAAGGCACCAAAGCUGACUGCACAGAGAUGACAGGAAGAGAAACUGAGGCUUCCCAUCAACAGCCAACACCAACUUGCCAGCCAUAUAAGUGAGACAUAGUAAAAACAGAUCCAUCAGAUGGUUAGGUCUUCAAAAAACUGCAGCUUUGCCAACCUUGCAAAAAACCCUGGAUCAGAACCAUUCAGAUAAGCCACUCCCAAAUAUGCAGGCUACUAUAGUAGUUAUUCAUUGAUGCAUACCCAAUUAUUCCAAAAUGUAGUGGCUUAAAGAAAUAAACACUUUCCCCCUAGUGUCUGUGAAACAGGAAUUUAUGAGGGGGUUAACUGGGUGUUACUGGCUAAGGUGUCUGAUAUCGCAGUUAAGAUAUUGGUUGGGGCUGUGGUCACCUGAAGGCUUGACUGGAACUGGGUGAUCUGCUUCCAAGAUGGCUCCCUCAUGUGGAUGUUAAGGAGACCUCAGUUCCUCACUGACUAGUGGCAGGAAAACUUGAUUUCUCCCUACGGAUCCCUCUUCAGGCUGCUGGAGUGUCUCACAAUAUGGUAGCCAGUUUCUCCCAGGAGAAGGAAUCCAAGAGAGGGGAAAAUAUGGAAACAAUGACGUCUUUUAUGACCUAACGUUGGGAGUCACGUGUUGUCUUUUCCAUAUAAUCUAACUGGCUGCACAUGUCAGUCAUAGUCAACGUAAGUGUGGACUGCAGAAGGGUGUGAAAACUAGGAAGUGGGAAUCUCUGUAAGCCAUCCUGGAAGCUGGAUAUCACAGUAGGGUAAUGAAUGGUUGUUACUGAUUUAUGCCACUAAAUUUUGUGGUAAUUUAUUAUGCAAUCACAGAUAGCUAAUAUACAAACAGACCAAUAUGGAAUAUUUGGUUAUUCUUAAUGAUUCGAAGUGAAGAAUGUUAGUGCUGCCGCCUGCUCUAUCCAUGAAGCCUCAGGAGAUGUUGUGGACCAGAAGGGUGCACACUCGAUCCUGUUUCCAUACAGCUCUCUAAUUGAAGUAGUGUCCUGAGAACCCCAGCAUCUCUGGAACUGGUUUGGAAUCCCAGCAGCUGGUACUGGGACAUAAAUCUUGGCAAUUUAUUAGCUAUUUUUAUUCACUAUUUUCUACUUUUUUAUAAUUCAGGUUUUACGGUUUUGCCUACGUUCCAAUCUUGAGACGUAAACCUUUGUGUUCCUUCUGGUAAACAAAUACCUUGUGUCCUUAGAAAAAGCUUUUUACACCCUGCCUUUUCGUAUAUAAAAAAUACUGGGUUUGUUUCCUACUCAGACUUUAUUUGGAACACUAUAAUUUAAAUCAGUCUCCCCAGAUAGAAGCAUAGAAAAAGAAGAUUGGGGAAGUACAGCGUGUUGUUUCCAACAAGGUGGAAAAUUCAUCUGAAAUGACAGAAAUCCUGGGUAAUGACGAAUCUCUGAGGAUUCCUGUGUCACAGCAAACUAGCUGAUUGGUCUGUGCAAUUGAGCUAUAGCAUAAUAUCAAUACUUACACUCCCUUUUGAAUUGAAAAUGAGGCAAUUAAAAGUUACUAAAUCCCUUGUUUUGAAUUGCUUCUGGUCCCUUUGGGUUUACCAUAGCCCAGUUUUGUGCCUUUCAUUUUGAGAAGUCCUGUCUUGCAAAUUUGAAAGUCUGUAGACUCUAUUUUGAAAUGGGCUUUAUUCCAAAAAUAGGUUUUACUUUAUUAUUUUCCACUGCCUCUGGGGAUAUUUUGACAAAAAUGGCAAAACCCAAAGACUUCCUGAAGGCUAAUCUUUUUUCUGGGUCAUAUGAUUCUUUUCAGUUUUCAUCUGGAGAGGGUUUUAUGAUAACAAUAGGUUUGACUGUUGGUGAACUGGAGAAAAUCCUGUUGCUUUAGAGUUAACAAUGAGUGGAAUUUCAGUGCAGUAUGGUUAUUUGCUUAAUACAAUAGAAGUUGGUGCAGACUGGACUUGCAAAUGUCAAAUAGACUGUGUGGGAAAAUCUAUAUCACUGCAACUGAGUCAACAAACAGUUCUGAAUGCAGAAAUGCUGACAGGACUGUAGCAAGCAAUUUGGUCAACUUCAAUUCAUGUCCAAAGUUAAGCUGGAUUAAAAAGAUGCCUGUGAAGAAAUGGUUAAAUAUUAAAAACAGCAGGGAUCUUAAAACCAAGAGGGGAAGAGAAAGAGGAGUCAGUGAAAUGAAACAUUAGAAACACAAAACAAUAUGCAAUUAAUAAUACCUGUCUCAGAGGCAGGCUUAUUAUAAGGUGGAAGCCACAAAAGAAAAAAUGAUCAAAGCAGCAGCUGAAGUCGUCCAGCUCGUUACUCACAUGCAUCAUGAAGUGUAAAACAGUGAUUAGAUGACAGAAGGAUACUCUAUCUUCCAAUAUUUUUAAACUUCUAGCUCUGUUGGGUAAACAGUUUCCAAAUGGACAUGAAUUCACUUGAGCCUGAUGCGUCUUAGUUUAUUGGCCAGACAUAGGAUUUCAGAUAUGAAUUGAAUAAAUCACUGCCUUACAUCACGUAGUUUUCCAGCCCAGCAAUACUCAAGAGCAUCUGGGUCAAGGGCAAGUUCUGGAGUAGGAGUUGGAAAGCAGAGGUUCUGGGUUGCCUGGGCAAUCUGGGACAGGUCAAUUUAAUUCCAUGAGCCCCAGUUUCCUUAUUGACACAAUACAAGUAUCAGUUCUUUACCUACCUGAUUCACAAGGUUGUUGGGAAGGUGUCAAAUGUAAUUACACACACACACACACACACACACACGAAAGCAUGUUAGCAUCCUUAAAGAGCAGGAUUCAGCAUAUUGUCUAUGAGCAAAAUGAAAAUAAAUAUAACAAAUUCUAAUGUUUACAGUAAGUAGUAUUGCUGUCCUUAUGAGUCAAAUGAUGUCAUUAUGUCAAAUGAUGUCAUUUGUCAAAGGACAAACAGGUAGAAAGGAGUGGAUCCGAGUCAAAUUAGAUUUUGGGACUCCAAAGUGCAAGCUGUUAAUCACCAUUCUAAAACAUGGGAUGGAGGAAGGGA